GAUGAAGAACGUAGCGAAAUGCGAUACGUAAUGUGAAUUGCAAAUUCAGUGAAUCAUCGAGUCUUUGAACGCACAUUGCGCCCCCUGGUAUUCCGGGGGGCAUGCCUGUCCGAGCGUCAUUGCUGCCCUCAAGCACGGCUUGUGUGUUGGGCCCCGUCCUCCGAUCCCGGGGGACGGGCCCGAAAGGCAGCGGCGGCACCGCGUCCGGUCCUCGAGCGUAUGGGGCUUUGUCACCCGCUCUGUAGGCCCGGCCGGCGCUUGCCGAUCAACCCAAAUUUUUAUCCAGGUUGACCUCGGAUCAAGUAGGGAUACCCGCUGAACUUAAGCAUAUCAAUAAGCGGAGGA
rnacentral:misc_RNA from 1 species